GCUCUUCUUGGAUGAGUUGCGAACGGGUGAGUAACGCGUAGGUAACCUGCCUGGUAGCGGGGGAUAACUAUUGGAAACGAUAGCUAAUACCGCAUAACAACAGUUGUUGCAUGACAGCUGUUUAAAAGAUGCAAUUGCAUCACUACCAGAUGGACCUGCGUUGUAUUAGCUAGUUGGUGAGGUAACGGCUCACCAAGGCGACGAUACAUAGCCGACCUGAGAGGGUGAUCGGCCACACUGGGACUGAGACACGGCCCAGACUCCUACGGGAGGCAGCAGUAGGGAAUCUUCGGCAAUGGGGGGAACCCUGACCGAGCAACGCCGCGUGAGUGAAGAAGGUUUUCGGAUCGUAAAGCUCUGUUGUAAGAGAAGAACGGGUGUGAGAGUGGAAAGUUCACACUGUGACGGUAUCUUACCAGAAAGGGACGGCUAACUACGUGCCAGCAGCCGCGGUAAUACGUAGGUCCCGAGCGUUGUCCGGAUUUAUUGGGCGUAAAGCGAGCGCAGGCGGUUAGAUAAGUCUGAAGUUAAAGGCUGUGGCUUAACCAUAGUAUGCUUUGGAAACUGUUUAACUUGAGUGCAGAAGGGGAGAGUGGAAUUCCAUGUGUAGCGGUGAAAUGCGUAGAUAUAUGGAGGAACACCGGUGGCG
rnacentral:rRNA from 1 species